rnacentral:rRNA from 1 species
UAGCAGGUCCCAAGGGUUGGGCUGUUCGCCCAUUAAAGCGGCACGCGAGCUGGGUUUAGAACGUCGUGAGACAGUUCGGUCCCUAUCCGCCGCGCGCGUAGGAAACUUGAGAAAGGCUGCCCCUAGUACGAGAGGACCGGGGUGGACGAACCUCUGGUGUGCCAGUUGUUCUGCCAAGAGCACGGCUGGUUGGCUACGUUCGGAAGUGAUAACCGCUGAAAGCAUCUAAGCGGGAAGCAUGUUUCAAGAUGAGGUUUCCCACUGGUUAACCAGGUAAGGCCCCCAGCAGACCACUGGGUUGAUAGGCCGGAAGUAGAAGUGUGGCAACACAUGGAGCUGACCGGUACUAAUAGGCCGAGGGCUUGUUUCU